CCUACGGGAGGCAGCAGUGAGGGAUAUUGGUCAAUGGGGGAAACCCUGAACCAGCAACGCCGCGUGAGGGAAGACGGUUUUCGGAUUGUAAACCUCUGUCAGCUGUGAAGAUAAUGACGGUAGCAGAGGAGGAAGCGCCGGCUAAAUACGUGCCAGCAGCCGCGGUAAUACGCAGGGAGCAAGCGUUGUCCGGAUUUACUGGGUGUAAAGGGUGCGUAGGCGGCUUUGCAAGUCAGGAGUGAAAUCCAUGGGCUUAACCCAUGAACUGCUUUUGAAACCGGAGGGCUUGAGUGGGGGAGCGGUAGGCGGAAUUCCCGGUGUAGCGGUGAAAUGCGUAGAGAUCGGGAGGAACACCGGUGGCGAAGGCGGCCUACUGGGCUCUAACUGACGCUGAGGCACGAAAGCGUGGGUAGCGAACAGGAUUAGAUACCCUUGUAGUC
rnacentral:rRNA from 1 species